rnacentral:rRNA from 1 species
GCCAGCCGUCGCGGUUAGACGAAGGAUUUAAAUGAAACAGAUUGGUGGAAUUAAGUAAAUAUUGAUUUUAAAGGGAUUUUUUUGAUGAAAAAUUAGGGGUAAAAUCUUUCUUUUUUUAAAUUAGAAAUUUUUAGUAAAUUUAUUAACUUUGUAGAUAAGGGGUUUAAACUAGGAUAGAUCCCAUAUAUCCCAUAUAAAUUUGUUGCCAGGGUAGUAGAGAUCUUUAAACCUAAAGAAUUUGGCGGUACUUCAUUCUUACUAGAGGAACCUGCUCUUGGAUCGAUAUUCCACGUUUAAAUGUACAUAUUUUUGUAUUCAGUUUGUAUACCGCCGUUGUCAGAUUAUUUUUAGAAAAUAUAAUCUAGUUAAUUUAAAGUUUAUGACUUCAGGUCAAGGUGCAGCUUAUAAAUAUGGGAGAAGUGGGUUACAAUAAAUUAUAAUUAUACGGAUUAGUAUGUGUAAACAUAUUAUUAAGGUGGAUUUAGUAGUAAAUUUAGAAUAAAAUUCUUUAUUGAAGUUGGCUCUGAGGUGUGUACACAUCGCCCGUCGCUCUCUCCUCUAAGG